GGUGCCGUGGUCUAGUGGUAUGACGUCACGUUGUGGUGAAGACAUUUAGUCGUCCUACAACCCCGUGUUAGCCCCGGUUCGAUUCCGGGCGGCGCCA